rnacentral:rRNA from 1 species
UGAGUAACACGUGGACAAUCUGCCCCCCGGCCCGGGAAUAGCCCAGGGAAACCUGGAUUAAUACCGGGUGAGACGGGACCCGCGAUGGCGGGACCCGGGAAAGGCGCUGCGGCGCCGCCGGGGGAUGAGUCUGCGUCCCAUUAGCUAGACGCGGGGUAACGGCCCAACCGUGGCGACGAUGGGUAGCCGGCCUGAGAGGGUGGACGGCCACAUUGGAACUGAGACACGGUCCAGACUCCUACGGGAGGCAGUAGCUAAGAAUCUUCCGGCAAUGGGCGAAAGCCUGACGGAGCGACGCCCGCGUGAACGAAGAAGGCCGUGAGGUUGUAAAGUUCUUUUCGGGAGGGGGAAACAACCGUGGCAGGGAAUGGCCGCGGGAUGACGUGAAUCCCGGAAUAAGCCCCGGCUAACUACGUGCCAGCCGCUGC